AUAGUCGGGCUGAAGACUCUACUUGACUAGCUGAGAGGAGGUGCAUGGCCGUCGUCAGUUCGUACUGUGAAGCAUCCUGUUAAGUCAGGCAACGAGCGAGACCCACGCCAACAGUUGCCAGCUCGUCCUCCGGGAUGGUGGGGACACUGUUGGGACCGCCUCUGCUAAAGAGGAGGAAGGAAUGGGCAACGGUAGGUCAGCAUGCCCCGAAUUAUCUGGGCUACACGCGGGCUACAAUGGGUGGGACAAUGGGUAUCGACACCGAAAGGUGAAGGCAAUCUCCUAAACCCAUCCGUAGUUCGGAUUGUGGGCUGCAACUCGCCCACAUGAAGCUGGAAUCUGUAGUAAUCGUGUCUCAAAAUGGCACGGUGAAUAUGUCCCUGCUCCUU
rnacentral:rRNA from 1 species